rnacentral:rRNA from 1 species
ACACCUGUUCCCAUUCCGAACACAGAAGUUAAGCCCCUCAUCGCCGAUGGUACUGCAGGGUUCGCUCUGUGGGAGAGCAGGACGGUGCCACAC